AGUGGCAAGGAAUUUGCGGUGUGGCUGUGGAUGAAAAUUACCAUGGGUGUGGAACAGGCAGAGUAUUGCUAAGCUGAUUACAAACAGAAAUUUUGAGCCAGUUGCAAUCUGUUCAGAAGAAAGGACACGCUGGUGACUGAGGCAAGAGGUACUGAACCAGGCUAGGGCGUCAGCACGGACCUGCUAACGGUUGCCUCUCCACUCGGCGAGGGUGUCUCUGGUUUCCUUCAGUUAGCCUGUCUGCACAGGAAUUGAGCCUACUUCCUCUGGGCUGAGAAAAUCUGAUCGAUCUCUGGUCUACGUUUGGACAGUGCAGACUUUGUUCUUCUUGUGCUCCACCCAAGUGUCCUUCAUUUUAGUCCGAGCUACUGACUUGACAUUAGUAUUGGAUUCCUGCCGUCUGCAGAAAUGCAGCUACAGAGCACCUCUUUCUGAAAGGACAAACAUAUCCCUAUGGUUCAAAAAGUGCUCCCCUAGGACAAGGCAGUUAAUGAAACAGUUAAUGGUGUUUUACAGGCCUCCCAAGCCAAAUGAUUUCAGACUAUAUUCCACUCAUAGGUUGAUACUGGAGGAAGCUAAGGCUAAUUAGCAGCUAUUUUGGUAGGGCUCCAGUGAGAAAAUGUAACAAGUAAAAGAUAGGGGAAACACUGAUGCUGGCUGAAAAACAAACAGAAAGUUGCAAAACUUGAGAUCCGUCAAGUCAGAGCAGUCUGUGAAGCAGACAGGAUAAAAAGAGCAAUCACUGACAGCCAGGGAAGGAAAUGUUCAUGGAAGUGGCAGAACAAUCAGGUAAAACAGCACCAGAAAUGUCUCCUUUAACUUAGCGGUCGCUGUUGAAGUGUACUGGAGGAAAACCAGGAAGCGAGCUGUCAGAGAAGACAAGGUCCCAUGAGCAGACAGCUUGCUGAGACCUAUGGAGACAGCUUGAGGAGAUAUGAUCAAUUUUGUUGUCAUGGAGGCACCAGCUAAUUUACUGAAAGUCAGAAAGGUAGAGUGGGAGGAAGGGCAAUUUUUCCAAGAUUAGAGAAGUACAGCACUUGUAAGCAAAGAAGAUAAAGCAGUUGAAAAUAAUGGCGAGAACACUAGGACGUGAAAAGCAAAGGAAAUGAAGGGACAGUUUAAGAAGAGUGCAAAAUGGAUUACCUUCCCUGAGGUGUCGCAAAGACCAAGCUCUUUGCACAACUGACAUCUUUGUAGAAAAUUGAAUCUCCUGAAAGCCGGGAGUAACAUCUAGCAAAUCACAAUUGGCUAGAAAAUAAUUGCUUUACUGGCUUUCAAGAAUAACUAGCAAUACUCUGACAUAUGGACGCCGGGAUGGCCAGACUGUGAGAAGGACCUAUUCCACUUCCCACCACCCCCCAACUCCCUUAAGAUACUGGAGCCUCCAUCUGCUCUUCACAAUAAAGUAAAGCAAGAACC